GGCAUAGAAUUUACUUUAUUACCCAGUGUACAUAGCUUUAGAAUUAAUUUUCAAUUGUAAACACAAACCUGAAAACUAUCACUCAAUUUCAGAGUGAACAGCAUUUGAUUGUGUAGCCCCAAGAUAGACAAAGUUAUCAAGAAAUGGACGGACUUUAAGACGCACAACAACAACCAUGUGUAAAUGAUGAGAUCUCAUCCAUCACAUCAGUUGAACAAAAGUUGGAAAUCCGCGAAACAGCGCAUGUGAGGCCCAGUCAUUUGAGCCGAUAGUGUUCCACUUCAUUGUUCCCUAGCUGUAGAGUUGUUGGAGAAAACCCUGUAUUGUUAUGUUACAAAGAUAAUUAAAUAAAGGAGUAGAAUUUA